UGUAGGCUGAAACUCGCCUACAUGAAGCUGGAGUUACUAGUAAUCGCAGAUCAGAAUGCUGCGGUGAAUGCGUUCCCGGGUCUUGUACACACCGCCCGUCACACCACGGAAGUUGGGGGCGCCCGAAGCCACUUAGCUAACCCUUUUGGGAAGCGAGUGUCGAAGGUGAAAUCAAUAACUGGGGUGAAGUCGUAACAAGGUAUC
rnacentral:rRNA from 1 species